GUUUUUUGCCCCAUGAAGUCACCAGUACAACUGACUGAAUGGUAUUACUUUGCUAUAAUGAACACUUUGCAAUGAUGACAACCCCCGUUAUAUUUCUAUCAAUCAUGGUUUAUAAAGACAUAUGUUAAAGGGACACCAUAGUCACCAGAACCACUACAACUAAAUGUAGUUGUUCUGGUGAGUAGAAUAAUUCCCUUCAGGCUUUUUGCAGUAAACACUGUCUUUUCAAAAAACAUCACCCCCUAGGGACAUCUCCAAUAGCCACUCCUCAGACUGGCACCAGAGGUACUUCCUGGGGCAGUGCUGCAUAGUGUGAAACACUGCCGUUCAGCAUCUCCAUGCUCUGCAAAAUCAUAAAUUCUGAUGUCACCAAGGAGGUGGAUCGGGCCAGCGCCGGCAGACGCUGGAUAUAAG